rnacentral:rRNA from 1 species
UACGUAGGGUGCGAGCGUUAAUCGGAAUUACUGGGCGUAAAGCGUGCGCAGGCGGUUUUGUAAGCCAGAUGUGAAAUCCCCGGGCUUAACCUGGGAGCUGCAUUGGUGACUGCAUCGCUCGAGUAUGGCAGAGGGGGGUAGAAUUCCACGUGUAGCAGUGAAAUGCGUAGAGAUGUGGAGGAAUACCGAUGGCGAAGGCAGCCCCCUGGGUCAAUACUGACGCUCAUGCACGAAAGCGUGGGGAGCAAACAGG